rfam:Arabidopsis thaliana chromosome 5, complete sequence.
CGAUGCGAUUAUACCAGCACUAAGGCACCAGAUUCCAUGAGAACGUCGCACCUAAGCGUGCUUGAACGAUAGUAGUAUUAGGAUGGGUGACCUCCCAGGAAGUCUUUGUGUUGUAUCCC